AAUUCAACAAAAAUAGACAUAAAACAA
rnacentral:sRNA from 1 species